CCUACGGGAGGCAGCAGUGAGGAAUAUUGGUCAAUGGACGGAAGUCUGAACCAGCCAUGCCGCGUGCAGGCUGACGGCUCUAUGAGUUGUAAACUGCUUUUGUAUUAGGGUAAACACCCCUACGUGUAGGGGCUUGAAAGUAUAAUACGAAUAAGGAUCGGCUAACUCCGUGCCAGCAGCCGCGGUAAUACGGAGGAUCCAAGCGUUAUCCGGAUUUAUUGGGUUUAAAGGGUGCGUAGGCGGCGUUUCAGGUCAGCGGUGAAAUACCGGGGCUCAACCCCAGGGCUGCCGUUGAAACCGGAGCGCUAGAAUUCCGAUGCCGUCGGAGGAAUGUGUGGUGUAGCGGUGAAAUGCAUAGAUAUCACACAGAACACCGAUUGCGAAGGCAUCUGACGAAGCGGAGAUUGACGCUGAUGCACGAAAGCGUGGGUAUCGAACAGGAUUAGAUACCCGUGUAGUC
rnacentral:rRNA from 1 species